UCGGGCGUGGUGCACGGCGCACACCAGCUUCAUUUGAGGUGUAAAAAGAAAAACCACUGUGAUGCUGGAGGACCGGGUUCGACUCCCGGCGUUCGAG